rnacentral:rRNA from 2 species
UGGGGAAUAUUGCACAAUGGGCGGAAGCCUGAUGCAGCGACGCCGCGUGAGGGAUGACGGCCUUCGGGGUGUAAACCUCUUUCAGCAGGGAAGAAGCUUUUGUGACGGUACCUGCAGAAGAAGCACCGGCUAACUACGUGCCAGCAGCCGCGGUAAUACGUAGGGUGCAAGCGUUGUCCGGAAUUAUUGGGCGUAAAGAGCUCGUAGGCGGUUUGUCGCGUCGGUUGUGAAAGCCCAGGGCUUAACCCUGGGUUGGCAGUCGAUACGGGCAGGCUAGAGUUCGGUAGGGGAGACUGGAAUUCCUGGUGUAGCGGUGGAAUGCGCAGAUAUCAGGAGGAACACCGGUGGCGAAGGCGGGUCUCUGGGCCGAUACUGACGCUGAGGAGCGAAAGCGUGGGGAGCGAACAGG